ensembl:lncRNA
UGUAGAGAGGUGAUGGGGUGGCUAGAAGACAGUGUAGAGAGGUGAUGGGGUGGAUAGAAGACAGUAGAGAGGUGAUGGGGUGGCUAGAAGACAGUGUAGAGAGGUGAUGGGGUGGAUAGAAGACAGUGUAGAGAGGUGAUGGGGUGGAUAGAAGACAGUGAAGAGGUGAUGGGGUGGAUAGAAGACAGUGAAGAGAGGUGAUGGGGUGGAUAGAAGACAGUGAAAAGAGGUGAUGGGGUGGAUAGAAGACUGUAGAGAGGUGAUGGGGUGGAUAGAAGACAGUGAAGAGGUGAUGGGGUGGAUAGAAGACAGUGAAGAGGUGAUGGGGUGGAUAGAAGACAGUGAAGAGGUGAUGGGGUGGAUAGAAGACAGUGAAGAGAGGUGAUGGGGUGGAUAGAAGACAGUGAAGAGGUGAUGGGGUGGAUAGAAGACAGUAGAGAGUUGAUGGGGUGGAUAGAAGACAGUAGAGAGGUGAUGGGGUGGAUAGAAGACAGUAGAGAGGUGAUGGGGUGGAUAGAAGACAGUGAAGAGGUGAUGGGGUGGAUAGAAGACAG